rnacentral:rRNA from 1 species
ACCAGCAGCCAUAUCACCCUGCAAGUCACAACUGACAAACCAUUGAAACUAAACAGGUGUGAACCUGGUCAGCACCUGGAUGGGAGACCUCCUGGAAAAAAGUAAGGUUUCUGCUGGAA